GCAUGGCUGAAUACUGUGUUCUUUUGUCAGUAGUUUACACAGCCAGACACCAUGCAAAAGUAAAAGCUUCCCUUGGAAAUCAUUUUGGUAUGCUGAGUUUUUCUUAGCAUAUCAUUAUUGAAAGUGAAUACAAAU
ensembl:snoRNA